GAUGAACGCUGGCGGCGUGCCUAAUACAUGCAAGUCGAGCGAAUGGAUUAAGAGCUUGCUCUUAUGAAGUUAGCGGCGGACGGGUGAGUAACACGUGGGUAACCUGCCCAUAAGACUGGGAUAACUCCGGGAAACCGGGGCUAAUACCGGAUAACAUCUUGAACCGCAUGGUUCGAAAUUGAAAGGCGGCUUCGGUUGUCACUUAUGGAUGGACCCGGGUCGCAUUAGCUAGUUGGUGAGGUAACGGCGCACCAAGGCAACGAUUCGUAGCCGACCUGAGAGGGUGAUCGGCCACACUGGGACUGAGACACGGCCCAGACCCCUAGGGGAGGCAGCAGUAGGGAAUCUUCCGCAAUGGACGAAAGUCUGACGGAGCAACGCCGCGUGAGUGAUGAAGGCUUUCGGGUCGUAAAACUCUGUUGUUAGGGAAGAACAAGUGCUAGUUGAAUAAGCUGGCACCUUGACGGUACCUAACCAGAAAGCCACGGCUAACUACGUGCCAGCAGCCGCCGUAA
rnacentral:rRNA from 1 species